rnacentral:rRNA from 1 species
GAUGAACGCUGGCGGCGUGCCUAAUACAUGCAAGUCGAGCGAACAGAUGAGGAGCUUGCUCCUCUGACGUUAGCGGCGGACGGGUGAGUAACACGUGGAUAACCUACCUAUAAGACUGGGAUAACUUCGGGAAACCGGAGCUAAUACCGGAUAAUAUAUUGAACCGCAUGGUUCAAUAGUGAAAGACGGUUUUGCUGUCACUUAUAGAUGGAUCCGCGCCGCAUUAGCUAGUUGGUAAGGUAACGGCUUACCAAGGCAACGAGGCGUAGCCGACCUGAGAGGGUGAUCGGCCACACUGGAACUGAGACACGGUCCAGACUCCUACGGGAGGCAGCAGUAGGGAAUCUUCCGCAAUGGGCGAAAGCCUGACGGAGCAACGCCGCGUGAGUGAUGAAGGUCUUCGGAUCGUAAAACUCUGUUAUUAGGGAAGAACAAAUGUGUAAGUAACUAUGCACGUCUUGACGGUACCUAAUCAGAAAGCCACGGCUAACUACGUG